CCUGCUUUUGUGUGUCUCUUCGUGCUCCAGCGGCGCCCCCCAGCGCUCUCUCUCCGUCGCACGACCAGCACGCUGCCAGCGAGCUGCCACAAGCACCUGCCAUGCCCUUAGCAACAGCGCCGCUGCCACAGCGUGCUGCAGCACCCCCAAGUGCUCCUAGACAGCUCUCCACACAGCGCUCGGUCCCCGUGCGCUCCCCCAGCUGCCUCUGUGCAGGCCUGCGCUUGCUGUGGCUGUCACGUCGUCGCAGGCGUGGGCCACCAGCACUGCGCCCGUGCCGUCCCCCACCUGCAUCACCCCCCACGAGCUGCACAUUCUGUACAUGUUGGCACUUUUCCAGCUUGCAGCAGCGACACCCCCGCAGUCGCAUCACCAGCUCGCGCAGUGCGCGCAGUGUAUGCACCGGCCAGCUGCAGUAUCCCGAGAUGCCACCCGCGGGCCCUCGUCCGGGUUCUCGACGCCCUCAUUCCUUCCCCAUGUCGCCAACAGCUGUCUUGGUGCCAUGUUUCGCGCCAGCACGCGCCUGCGCCUCGCACCCGGGCGCGAGCUGUUGCAGCGCACUGAGCUCGUCCACCACCGCCCAUGCCACACUGCACGCUCGCUCCCAGUGACCCUUCUGUGUAGGCCAGGCGGCUCUGUAAGCUGCUGAAAACACUGAUUCUGUCGUGAUACGGUCAUACCACCA
rnacentral:misc_RNA from 1 species